GUUCCCGUGAGAUGAGCAGCUGUGUUCUACCCAGGGCUCCUACUGUGACACUCUGCCUCUCCUCAGACCCAAAGCAAUGGGGCCAGCCAACCAUCUCCCAAACUGCCAUGAUCCCUCAUCUCUUAUGUGGCAAAUGUUUACAGAAGAAAUCUUGGUAGAGACCUAUGAAUGAACUGGACAAGCAACAUGAAGCCUACAAAAUGUAGGCCAUCCUAAAUUAUCCAGUACAGCCAUGAAAUGCAGAAGCCCUGGAAACAGUCAACACCUUGAUGAAGAGCUGCUUGGUAUUCAUAAACCUUCAUGCCUGUCAGGGAAUUUUGCUGACACGUCUCAAAAGUCUGAGGAGUGAAACUGUUGUUUUGUUUGCUUCUCGAAUUUCGUGGUCAAAUAUGCACAGAAAGGGUUUAAAUCCAACUGGAGCUUCCGACGAUGUCUGCAGCGAGCUUCCCGUGCAGUCUGCUUUCUGCUCUAAUUUGUUCACAUUGGUUUUGAUGAUCUAAUUUAAGAUGAGGAGGAAUAUCUCAUGAAUUUUUACAGCACUGGGAAGCUGGAAGAGCAGGACACAAACUAAGUUAACAUGUAACUUCACAAAGGGAGUGGGUGAAGUAUUCCGUGGAAACUGCUCUGACAUGGAGUACCCUCUGUCCAUGCAGCUGUGUCGCUGGCUCAGCCUAGAGGUUCCUAACGGGAUCUGGGGAUUCAUGGAAAACACUUGCAGGGUUCUGGGGGAGGGUCGGGAAGCAGGGGAGACUUUUGGUCAGGCAGGGGUGACUGCUUUCAGAACCCCAGUAAGGAUGCAUGCAAGGGAUGACCUCCCACACAGGCAGCUCAGAUCUGUGUGGGAACCACCAGAAAAUGGCAUUCAUGAGUUGGUUAGAUACCCUUUCUUGUUUAGCUUCCGAUAUAUAUACAUACCAGUGACACUUGUCCCUCACUUCCCUUUUUGGUCUCCAUCAUAGAAAGAAAAUUCUGGAGGAUCUAGCUGCGCUAAGGGAAGCUUUGCAAGCACACAGCACUGUCCUCAACUUGUCAAAUAAAAAUGCCCAACAUGCUCAACAUCAGGGCACUAGGGGAAGUUACAUUAACGCAUCCACAGGAAAAAGGACCAGGCUUGUGGAGGACCAGCGUCUGUCAUAGCAGGUCUUCUGUGUUCUUGUCCACAGACACUGACUUUCCUUGCCACACUCAGGUGAUUUCAGCAGCUCUCCUGAUGCCCACCUGAGUAGAGUCUGCCUCUCUCUGGACAGUGUACUUGCCAUGAAGUCAUGCCUCACGGACUUCCCAAGGAGUGUGGUUGCCAUCAAUAACUGCAUCCUGCACUCACUUGUGAACAGUACACAAACCUGUCCUGAAUCCACUGCCUGAGCAGGGUUCCUUGAAUGGGAACUUGGAAUACUGUAUUCCCCAGCUGUGAGUUGCUAUGCAGAUGGAAACUACCAGCACUGGAAAAGACAUCACUCCAUUUCCUCCAGAUAUAUUCCCAGGAGUGGAUUGCUGGACUCUACAGCAGGUUUUUAAGGAACUCCUAUACUGUUUUUUUUUUUUUUUUUUUCAUUUGCUGUACCCAUUUACAUUUCCACUGACAGUAUACAAGGCUCUUACAUCUCCACACCUGCACCACCAUUUAAAAAAAGGAUUGGGUCUUUGGAUCCCAACCCUUCCACACAGAAUUCCCUCAUCUCAGCAGGAGGCCAGGCAGUCCUCUGCCAAUACGUGGCAGGCACCAUCAGAGAUAACAGAACAGUUCCCUUUGGUCCCCGUAAAGGCAACUUAAACAUAUUGGCUUAAACGGGAUGAUUUCUCAUCUGCAGAUACAAGGAGCACAUGGAGUUUCGAGUGGAAACACGGUGGUUGAUUAAAAAAAAAAACAGUAGAAAUUCAAUAAUAAAAUUGAUUAGAGAGUGUCAGUAAUAUAGCCUAUUGACAUGGGAGUUCAUCACACUGAAAUGAAAACUGAUUCCAUGUCAUCAGUGAGUAGUUAUGGGGAAUUGGUGCACAUCCCACAGCCCCCACCCACCCCCAGUUAUCAUUUUAUCUAGUGGCUUAACAGAUGAGGAAGGCAAGAUGGAGAUGGGCAUGAGGAACAGAGCAAGGCAGGUAGGACUGAUGACACCGUGUGCUGGGAGCUUGUGUUGAAUCCCAAGCCUCUUUUCCAGUUCAAAGCCUUUCUGAGAAUGAGCAGGUGAUAACCUCCUUUGUUAGCUUAAUGCAAAGAAGUAUGGAUUGCUGCCGUAGCCACGGAUUUGAAAUGGAACUCUGGAGAGCAAUUUCCCCAGCAGCAUCAUUUCUGUUUCAAUCCUGGUAUUCCUUUGUUAAUAGUUACUUCAUAAAUGAAUAAAUAGUCAUUCCUCUCAUAUCUAAUUCUAAAUACUUGUGCUAUAUUUUAGGAACUGAAGAAAGUGGUAUAUUUGGCAUGUGCAUUUUAAACUUAAACGAUACAGUCGUUUAACUGGAAACCACAUGUUCAAAAACAAAAUUGGCAACAGAUUGGAAGUUCAGCAUUGAUUCAAUGAUAAUUUUUUUUUUAAAAUUUUCUGAGUGCCUUGAGUAUCAAGAAAGAUUUAGCUAUGUGCAACUGCACUCAAGUGUACUGUAGAGUGUUCGGUAUAUGAAUGAUUGGCCAUAUUUACAGAAGCAAGAUUGGACUGAUUUUUCAUUAAAGUUGUCUCUAGACAUACAAGGAAACUUCAACUUCUUUUAAUUAUUUCUUUAAGUAAUAUGAAAUGUGGUGAUAUUGUGUUCCCCAAAAUAUUAUGCACCCUAAUAAACUUAUCUGGGGUCAGAGAACAGAACAGCCACUAGAUAUAGAGGCCAGAAAGUGGUGGCACACACACCUUUAAUCCUAUCACUUGGGAGGCAGAGAUCCAUCUGGAUCUCUGUGAGUUCAAAGCCACACUGGGAACAGCCAGGCAUGGAGACUCACACCUUUAAUCCCAGGAAGUGAUGGCAGAAAGCAGAAAGGUAUAUAUGACAUGAAAACCAGGAACUAAAGCUGGUUAAGCUUUUAGGCCUUUGAGCAGCAGUUCAGCUGAGAUCCAUUUGGAUGAGGACUCAGAAGCUUCCUGUCUGAGGAAACAGGAUCAGCUGAGGAACUGGCGAGGUGAGGUGGCUGUGGCUUGCUCUGCUUCUCUGAUCUUCCAGCAUUCACCCCAAUACCCAGCUCCAGGUUUGUUUUUAUUAAUAAGACCUUUUAAGA